CUACUGUGUCAGCAUUGAUGGCAUCUUCGAUGAGCACAAAACAGCCACAGGUGAAGAAGGUGGACCAGGAAGAGAGGACGGCCAGGCCUCCACCAGCUCACCCAUCACUGGGACAGUGGCUCCAGGUCUGGCUGCCAUGUGGAGACAAAAGGAAAGAGAAAUACCAGAGUCUUCAUGGAAGAGAGGGAGCAUGUUAAGGCCACGAGCCUUUGAAAGUAACCCCAUGGGACUUCCUGACCACCUACACCCCGGAGCCUUCAGAGCCGUAUCUGCAGACCCUGACGCACCCAGAAACACCUUUGCUUGCCCAAAGAUUCCAGCCAGACGGCUCCUCCUGUUGGAAGUGGAUUCGGCGGUGUCUUCUCAGCUUUCGUAGAAGCUGUUCCAGAGUUGAGCACGCUUAUCCCGAAACUAAAGCCGUACAGCUCUCCCUUUUCUCUGUGGACAGUCCGCUUGUGCAUUUCCAUAAUGGACUAAUUAGGGAGGACAUUUUCUUUCUGACCUAAGAUAGACCUUCAUAGCAGAACCAGAAACAAGUUUAUUAUUUUUAUCUCUUGAAUGUUGAAUGGAAAAAAUAUAGAAGGCUAAAAUGCCUACGACCAAAUCAUGAUGCUCUGGUUCAGUUCUCUGCUUCACUCUCCCAAAAAAAAGAAAAAUGUUGCUGCUGCCUUCGGCUUCCUGAUUCCCUGACCUGGGAACCCGUCCUGCUCCGCCCGCCAGGCUCCCUCCUCGCUGGAGUGGGAUUAGGUGUCUCCCCACCCAGAAUGCAAGGCCUUUGUAGGCAGGGACCAUGUCUUAGUCUGCGCUGUAACUUCCAUGCCAGCAUGGUGCCCGGCAUAGGACAAAGUUUCGUUGAAUGAAUGAAUGAAUGAAUGAACGAAAUGUUACGGGUGUGGCCCACAGAAUAAGCCACCACUCAGGUUGGUUCUCCUGAAUGGAUUCACAAAGAAGAGACAGGAGCGCUCAGCCUAGCAACGAUCAUUUGGGAGGCAGCCCUCUACUGUCUGCAGAAAGGACACGCUCCCGCUCUGGGCAUGAACUUGAGGAGGGUCUUGUGGAGCAUCCUGAGCCUGGGAUGCACAAGCAUCAGCUGGAAGGCUUGUCAGACCCAUUCUGACCCCACUGAGAUGGGGAAUUUGUCUUUCACACACUCCCACUGGCUGCAGACCAGAACCGGGAACGGUCUAGCACUCCCCAAACGCAAAGUUCCCAUCACUCGAAUACCUGGGAAGUAAGCUGAGGAAAAAAACACUGAAAGGUGGAAAUUCACCAGUAUCCCAAGUAGGAGACCAUUUCUUGGAACCAGACUUGCCCCAGCGCCCCCUGCUGGGCUGGGGAAGCCCAAGUGGGCACAGAAGGGAUGCUGGAGACGGUGUCCAGGGGCUCACCCAUCCACAGCCUCCCUUGCUGGACCAGGAGACCUCCUGUUUCCCCUGGGACGUUUGGAUAAGCCAUCUGAAUGAUGGGGACAAGGCAGGGUUAAAAGGCUUUUCCAGGGGGCUGCAGCCGCUCCCCACUGCCCAGAAGCCCAGUGUCAUUUGUGCUCCUGGCUGUGUUUGCCCAGCCCCCAGCAUACACCUGCCAUGGAGAAUCUUCUCUACUCCUGUUCCUUCAAGAACAGACAUGGAGACGUGGUAUAUCCACGCGAUGGGAUAUUAUUCAGUCAUCAAAGAGGAGGAAGUCCUGCACAUACUGUAACACGGAUGAAUCGUGAAAAGGUGAUGCCAAGUGAAAGAAGCCAGACACAAAAGGCCACAUAAUAUAUGACUCCAUUUAUACAAAAUGUCCAGAACAGACAAACGCAUAGAGAUGGAAAGUAGAUUAGUGGUUGCCAGGAGUUGGGAGGCAUUGGGACUGACUGCUGAUGGGUACAGAAUUUCCCUUUUGGGGUGCUGAAAUGUUCUGGAGCCAGAUAAUGGUGACGGUUGCCCAAUACUGUGAAUGUAGUAAAUGCCACUGAAUUGUACACUUUAAAAUGGUUAAAAUGGGGUCUGGCCCCAUGGCCGAGUGGUUAAGUUUGUGCGCUCCGCUGCAGGCGGCCCAGUGUUUCGUUGGUUCAAAUCCUGGGCGCAGACAUGGCACUGCUCAUCAAACCACGCUGAGGCAGCAUCCCACACGCCACAACUAGAAGGACCCACAACGAAGAAUAUACAACUGUGUACCUGGGGGUUUUGGGG
rnacentral:lncRNA from 1 species